rnacentral:lncRNA from 1 species
UGUAGGGCCUUCAUGAUUUCCUUGAUUACAAUGGAAACAUAUGAUUCGAUUUAACCUUUCAGAGAAGACAUUCCAACUUGCAUGAUCUCAUCAAUGUGGAGAAUAUUGGUGGCCAUCACAGGUCAGGAGUGAAGCAGCUCUUCCUUUACACGGUUGCUCACAAUGUAUCGGGAGGGAGCUUCCCAUGCGCACUGGUAAUGUUUGAGAACUGUUUUUGGAGUCAAGAAAGAAGAAUUUGGGGAUUCAGAGGCCAAGGAGAUGGACAAGGGAAGCAUCUCCAAAAGAUCACCUAUGGACCAAGAGGAGAUCGUAUCUGUUUUAAGGAGCCAUGUCUAAGGAAUCCUUGCACGUAUGGAAGAAUUAUAUCUCUCAACCUCCUCCAUAGAGUGCGUAGCAUGUCUUCCUUUGUCUGGCCCUAUAUUAACCCUCCACCUCCCAUCCCCAUCUCUCACCAUACUUAAAUUCCC